UACGUAGGGUGCAAGCGUUGUCCGGAAUUAUUGGGCGUAAAGAGCUCGUAGGCGGUUUGUCGCGUCUGCUGUGAAAACGCGGGGCUCAACUCCGCGCCUGCAGUGGGUACGGGCAGACUAGAGUGCAGUAGGGGAGACUGGAAUUCCUGGUGUAGCGGUGGAAUGCGCGGAUAUCAGGAGGAACACCGGUGGCGAAGGCGGUUGCCUGGGGCUUUGCUGACGCUGAUGCGCGAAAGGCGUGGGGAGCGAUCCGG
rnacentral:rRNA from 1 species